rnacentral:rRNA from 1 species
GAUGAACGCUGGCGGCGUGCCUAAUACAUGCAAGUCGAGCGAACGGACGAGAAGCUUGCUUUUCUGAUGUUAGCGGCGGACGGGUGAGUAACACGUGGAUAACCUACCUAUAAGACUGGGAUAACUUCGGGAAACCGGAGCUAAUACCGGAUAAUAUUUUGAACCGCAUGGUUCAAAAGUGAAAGACGGUCUUGCUGUCACUUAUAGAUGGAUCCGCGCUGCAUUAGCUAGUUGGUAAGGUAACGGCUUACCAAGGCAACGAUGCAUAGCCGACCUGAGAGGGUGAUCGGCCACACUGGAACUGAGACACGGUCCAGACUCCUACGGGAGGCAGCAGUAGGGAAUCUUCCGCAAUGGGCGAAAGCCUGACGGAGCAACGCCGCGUGAGUGGUGAAGGUCUUCGGAUCGUAAAACUCUGUUAUUAGGGAAGAACAUAUGUGUAAGUAACUGUGCACAUCUUGACGGUACCUAAUCAGAAAGCCACGGCUAACUACGUGCCAGCAGCCGCGGUAAUACGUAGGUGGCAAGCGUUAUCCGGAAUUAUUGGGCGUAAAGCGCGCGUAGGCGGUUUUUUAAGUCUGAUGUGAAAGCCCACGGCUCAACCGUGGAGGGUCAUUGGAAACUGGAAAACUUGAGUGCAGAAGAGGAAAGUGGAAUUCCAUGUGUAGCGGUGAAAUGCGCAGAGAUGUGGAGGAACACCAGUGGCGAAGGCGACUUUCUGGUCUGUAACUGACGCUGAUGUGCGAAAGCGUGGGGAUCAAACAGGAUUAGAUACCCUGGUAGUCCACGCCGUAAACGAUGAGUGCUAAGUGUUAGGGGGUUUCCGCCCCUUAGUGCUGCAGCUAAUGCAUUAAGCACUCCGCCUGGGGAGUACGACCGCAAGGUUGAAACUCAAAGGAAUUGACGGGGGCCCGCACAAGCGGUGGAGCAUGUGGUUUAAUUCGAAGCAACGCGAAGAACCUUACCAAAUCUUGACAUCCUUUGACAACUCUAGAGAUAGAGCCUUCCCCUUCGGGGGACAAAGUGACAGGUGGUGCAUGGUUGUCGUCAGCUCGUGUCGUGAGAUGUUGGGUUAAGUCCCGCAACGAGCGCAACCCUUAAGCUUAGUUGCCAUCAUUAAGUUGGGCACUCUAAGUUGACUGCCGGUGACAAACCGGAGGAAGGUGGGGAUGACGUCAAAUCAUCAUGCCCCUUAUGAUUUGGGCUACACACGUGCUACAAUGGACAAUACAAAGGGCAGCGAAACCGCGAGGUCAAGCAAAUCCCAUAAAGUUGUUCUCAGUUCGGAUUGUAGUCUGCAACUCGACUACAUGAAGCUGGAAUCGCUAGUAAUCGUAGAUCAGCAUGCUACGGUGAAUACGUUCCCGGGUCU